rnacentral:lncRNA from 1 species
GAUACGAGGAAAUAAAAAGGGGCAAGUGCUCGGAACCUCGAAAGAAAAGAAAAAGUGAGACGAGAGGUAAAAAUGGACAAGUGUCCGACAGUAGAAUUAGGGGUACAAGAUACCCAUCUGAGAGAAACGAAAAAGAAAAUAUAGAGCAUCUCAUUCUCCCCAAGUUUCAAAAGAGCAAGAAAGGUAUGUAUCCCCUCAAAAGAGCAUAAGUAGAAUUAGACUUUCACCAUUGUUAUCACCAUCAUCACCAUACACCAUUCAUUCACCACACAUGCACAUCUUGAUUUGACUUAUUGACUUGUUUCUUUGGAUCCAUGGUUUGACUAUGCAAUAAAUGUCUUAUGAGUAUGUAUAUUUCAUCUCCCACCUAUGAGCUCCAGAUAUCAAAAGCCUUAUUAGAGUAGGGUGAGAGAGAAGGCAAUGUCACUAUGCCUUAUACCACAAAUAAUACAUAUUUUGAGAGAAGGCAUAUACCAUCAC